rnacentral:tRNA from 1 species
GAUCCCAUAGUUCAAUGGAUUAGAAUAUCAGAUUUCGGCUCUGAUGAUGAGGGUUCGAAUCCUUCUGGGAUCA